rnacentral:tRNA from 1 species
UCCCUGGUGGUCUAGUGGGUAAGACUCUGCAUUCCCAGCGCAGGGGGCCUGGGUUCAAUUCCUUAUCAGGGAA